ACGAUAUAUAAAAAGGUGUGGGACAUUCCAAAUGUUCCAAAAGUGAGCAUUCCACGAAUGGACAACAGUUUGCAGGGUAAAAUAAAACAUUGUCAACAUAUUAUUUUGUGCCACAAGAAGCAGAAUGUUUUAACAGUACAGUAGUUUGAAUAUAUUUGUUGUUAACCUUUAUCAGACCUCUCAGGCACCCACAACCAGCGUCUGAUCGCGAUGGAGCACCAACCCCAUUCCAGGAAGAGGUCCAGUCUGCCCCGGGUCAGAACCACUUCUAUAGCAACUACACAACUGUGUAUGCACUUAUCAUUAUUGAUAGCCAGUCUGAGCCAGAAGACACAAUGGAGCAAAGCACAGAAUACCUGACUGCGGCACACAUUGUUGCAGAACUCUCUGCAAAAAUAACAAAUACAUCUUGCAGCAGGUUCAAUAUUAAUAGAGCCAGUGUGUGCGAUGGAGCAAUCCGCGGCUUCAAAGGUGCCUCAUUCGAUCCCUCUCAUGAGAUGUCAGUUAAGUUCACUGAUGAUGAGGGACACACUGAGGAUGGAGGGGACAAUGGUGGUCCCAAGCGUGAGUUCCUGACCCUCCUUAUGGAAUGCCUGAGAAUGAAGAAAACAUCACGUCAGCAAC